AGAUUGAACGGGGGCGGCGGGUUUAACACACACAAGUAGAGCGGUAACAGAGAGAAGUUUGCUUUUNUGGUGANGAGNGGCGGACGGGUGAGUAACGCNUGGGUAUACNCUUUGUAGUGGGGGAUAANUNCCCGAAAGAUAAGAUAAUACCGCAUAUGUUAUACGGGAGAANGGAGGGGUCUUUCGGGCCUUUCGCUAUUAGAUGAGCCUAGGUCGGAUUAGUUAGUUGGUGAGGUAAUGGCUCACCAAGACCGCGAUCCGUAACUGGUCUGAGAGGAUGAUCAGUCACACUGGAAGUGAGACACGGUCCAGACUCCUACGGGAGGCAGCAGUGGGGAAUAUUGGACAAUGGGGGAAACCCUGAUCCAGCCAUGCCGCGUGUGUGAAGAAGGUCUUAGGAUUGUAAAGCACUUUAAGUUGGGAGGAAGAGCAGUUAACUAAUAUUGACUGUUUGACGU
rnacentral:rRNA from 1 species